UCAAGAGCAGGCUUCAGGCACGCUGUCCGCCCAAAAAGGAAAGGGCAAGCGCAGCGUGUAACACACGGUGAAGCUCCACUCCGAUGGGAUAAGUACAUCAGCAGCAUAGCUCACAUUUCACCCUAUCUUGUGUAUUUGCGCGUGUCUGUGAACGAUCGAGCCCACGUCUGGAGGGAAGAAAAUGCUCUUCUAGCGCCAGACACGAGUGUCGUUUCCUCCUUUUUGGACAACGCUUACUGGAAACGUUUGAAGAGUGUUCAAGUUUUCCUCGAAGUCCUCCCGAAGAGGUUUAUUUUUGGCCAGGAACGUCAUGGGGAGCGAACAAUACUUGCCGGAGCUUCAGGCGGAGAAGGACACGUUGGAUCCAGCUUUCCAACAUUCUCUUCGGCUACUCGAGCAAGAAAUUGAAAAGAUUCAGAAGGACGAAGGCAAGGAGGAGGAAAAGUUUAUCGAUGUCGUCAUCAACAAGAACAUGAAACUGGGCCAGAAAGUUUUGAUACCAGUCAAGCAGUUUCCUAAAUUUAACUUUGUCGGCAAACUUCUCGGGCCACGUGGAAACUCGUUAAAGAGGCUACAGGAGGACACCCUCACAAAGAUGUCCAUUCUGGGCAAAGGGUCCAUGCGUGAUAAAGAGAAGGAAGAAGAGCUGCGCCAGAGUGGUGAAGCCAAAUACCAACACUUGAACGAAGACCUGCACGUUCUUAUCGAGGUGUUCGCCCCACCGGCUGAGGCCUACGCUAGGAUGGGGCACGCCUUAGAGGAAAUCAAAAAGUUUCUCAUACCAGAUUACAACGAUGAGAUCAGACAGGCCCAGCUGCAGGAGCUUACGUACCUGAAUGGAGGUUCAGAAGAUGCCAAGGUACCAGCAGUAAGGGGCAAGUCAGCCACCCGUGCAAGAGGGACACCUGUUCCAGGAAUUCCCAGGAGUCGAGGAGGAGUACCCCCUUUGCAUGCUGCCAUGCCAAGAGGAGCAGCACCCAGAGGAGCCCCGCCCAGCCGCACACCAUCUGCAAGGGGGAGGGGGGUGCAACGAGCCCGGGGAGCCCCCCCUACAAGUGGAUACCGCCCAGCUCCACCUAUUGUGCAGGACACUUAUGACGAAUACGACUACGACGACGGCUAUGGAACGGCUUAUGACGACCAAGGAUAUGAGUCCUACGACAACAAUUACACUAAUCACGGACAAAACUCAGACGACUACUAUGAAUAUGGACAAGGUGGCGAAUCGUAUGAUUCAUACGGUCAAGAAGAGUGGGCAAACAGUCGUGGAAAAGCGCAGUCGGCGAGGACGACUAAGGGAGCCUACAGAGACCAGCCGUACUCCAGAUACUGAACUGUGUCAAGCCCUGCACCCCAGUCCCCGUCGCAGUUCCAACCCAAGUUGAACUUCUGGGCUAUCGAUCAUCUCAUUGGCACACAUGAUGCGAUGAGCUACACCAAGAAAAUAACCUCCCCAAAGACUCACAAAGGAUCACAAAGACAUAUCUGCCUUUUGGCAAGCGUGUUGGACUAACAUGUUCACAGGUGAAUCCUGCAGGGGAAUUUGAGAUGCAAUAAAAGGAGUGAUGCGUUAAAAAAAAAGUGUCACACGUUGUCACUCUAAGAGAGUAAACCCGUAAGCCAAAUGGAGUUCCUUAUUCUCUCGAGAUGUUCUGUCUAAGAAUAUUUCCUUCAGAUUUCCAUGGCCACUGUACAUACAGUAUUUUACAAAGACAAGUGAGUGCUUUGAACUGAUAGUGAACCUGCGACUUAUUGGCUGAGAAAACCAUAAACAGUUCUUUGCUAAGGUGAGUGACAUCAUGCACUCGUACUGCAGCUAAUUAACCUCCACCAUAUCUAUUUACAUCAUUAAAUAAGUGCCUUAUUGUUACCAUGUUAUGACACUUUUAGAGGUUGAGUCUCAUUAAAUGUAUUAAAAAAGGCACCUAUUUUUCCCCCCUUUUACUUUGUUUUGUUCCCCUUGGAAUUCUGUAUGCAUUAUCAUGAUGUCAGUAAACCCCACCCGUCUGCACUCUAUUCUGCUUGUACCUCUUAAUGAGAAUCGACUUCCAUGGCUGUUACAAAUCCAAAAUAGCUUUCAGUGGGAACUGGGUGGAGGUGGAACAUUCAGUUUGACGCAUAAGUCCACAGAAGCCUCGCUGCACAGUACUAUGUCCUGGGUGCCAGACAAUGGUUUUCCAUUAGAGGAGACGAAGCCCGCCGGAGACCCCGGGCCAAGCCUCAGACACUAACAAUCGACCUGACGCUCAGAUCCCUGCAUCCCACCUUCGGGGACCGCUUGGCUCUCUGAAGUGACUUCAAAUGACAAUGUUAUCUAGAGCAGGCUGGUGCCAGUUCAUAAAGUAAACAGGGUAUGUUUGAUUAAGGAUGCAUACAAUGAAAUGUGGUUGUGCGCUGUUUGCACUAUGCUCCCACAGGCAGGAAACAAUCCCGUUUUAGGCCUCAGUGAACAAAAUGGGAUGGUCGGAAGUAAUAGUUGGAUGUAUAAAACUAAACCUGACGGUAUUUAAUUGGGUUUUGUGUUUUUCUCUCGUUGACACGUUUGAGUGUACAGUAGCAGUGUUGUCACAUUUAAUUACUCUGCAUCCCAGCGUGUGACAGUUAAUGAACCUGGCGUAAGCCUGCUCAUUGCAGUGUUUAUUCGAAUAACGGGCUGUUUUACAAGUUCUCGUACAAGAGAUCGAUUAGUGAAUUAAGAUGUUAACGAAAGCUAAGGGCACUUUUACACUAGACCAAGAGGAACAGGGUCCGGAUGGAGAGCUACCUCACAGCAAUACUUGCAAAUGAACGGACAAAUAGAAGAGAAAAUGCUCUCGCCCUGGGAGGGGAGGGAGCGUGGGGCGUCAAAGCAUGGUGCUGAGACACUGCACGUAAUGUAGCAUAGCAUGGCAGGGUCAGGCUCACUCCCAACUAAAUGCCGAGCGAACUGAAGUUUAUAAAAAAUGCAUAGAGGAAAAUCAAACCAUGAAAGGGAACCACUUGGUACCUCAUAUCACACAGGUGUGGAAUCGUUCUCACUUUCGUGACUUUUUGGACUGUCAAAUUGUCGCCACUUCCAAGACAGCAAGACUCACAAAACACUCACAAGACUCCCCGAGAGGCCCUGCCUGUCUAUGCCACUGUAAUUCUCACACGACACGUUCAGCAGCAGCAUGCAAAACAAGUAUCAACUCUUUAGCACAGCUGUGGCGGGGCUCGUGCUCACAAUGAAUGGCAACCGAAGCAGUUUGAAAGUUUUUCAGUGUUUUUAUUAACGACGUUCCCAACAGUGUUCUGUGACAAAGAGCAAAAGUGAUUUUUUACAAAAGUUAAACAAAAAUUCACCAUAUUUACAAAAACAUUCAUAGCAUGACGAAUAAAAUAAAAAGGUCGGUUACUGGAUCUGCACCACUGCGUGACUCCAACUGACUGAGGUAGGCAAGGUAGGUCCCUCUUCUAUAGACCCUACUCACAUGACGUCACAACCACGCCUCCGCGCCAUAUUGUCCAUCUACUCGUCGUUUUGACGCAUUACCGCUACGUAAAUUCCUCCUAUUAUGGCGUGUUUUUCUGCUUGUUAACAUUAAUACUCAAAAUGGUGAAGGCGUGUGUGGCGGUUGGUUGCAAUAACAGAGAAGAUAGACAGAGAGACUUGAAGUUCUACCGUAUUCCGAGAGACCCGGAGAGGAGAGCGAGAUGGACUGCUGCAAUUUGACAAGAAAACUGGGCUCCAAACGAUUACCACGGAUUAUGUAGUAGUCAUUUUAUAUCUGGUAAGAUGCAUUUAAUAUAUAUUUAGAGGGUUUUGGGCUGACAACCACAAUUAAGAUCAUUGCGAGGCUAAUCGCCGACAACAUACAGUUUCAAAUUCAAGAUGCUUAUUUCUUCCACCAUCAUUACAUUUUUAAUAAUAUUUAGCUGGGACCAAGUGAAAGAAGUUGACCUCGUCUACGGAUCAUCAGUUAAACAGGUGUGUCCAAACCUUUUGCAAAGGGGGCCAGAUUUGUUGUGGUAAAAAUGCGGGGGGCUACCUUGGCUGAUUUACAUAGAACAAUAUAUUUAAAGAAAUGUUAGCAAGCCCUUCUGUGUGUCACAUUUGCUUUAUUAUUUUUUUUUAAUUCAUAAUUUCAACAGUCUCGUCUUUGUGGCGUUCUCUUUCGACACUCGGGCUCUUGCGAAAUACUGCUGCUGUGAAAUUAAACUAGCUUCAAGUUGCUAUAAUUUCUCACUGCGUAUCUUCCCUGUAAUGUUGUUGUACAUGUCAGCGUGUCUUGUUAUUAUCGGGUCACAUCGAACUCUUUGAAAACAGCGACUGUCUCUUUGCUAAUGAGGCAGACACAGUUGUUGCGUGUUUUAUUGAAGAAAUAGUCCAAUAUCCACCUAUCCUUGAAGUGUCGGCCAUCGCAGUCAACUUUUUUCUUUUUUUUGAUUGUCGCCAUUUUAGAAAUCACACAGGGUAAUGUUGCUUAGAGUGCUGCUCUUAAUGUUUUUCAAAGUUUCGUGAGAAUAGGCCGAGUUUCUGUGGAAAAGAUAGUUGUAGAUAUCAGGGUAGCAGAUGUCAGGCAGAGAGGGCGAAGACAGCGGGUCGAAAAAUAUCGAUUUAGGCAUCAAAUAUGGAUCUGGCGAAUGGAUAGACUGAAGCUUUUCCACAUAACGCCUUUCAUGCAACGCAUCCAAUGAGUUUACAGCGUCUGAAAGCACUGGGGUUUCCAUGAAUUGCUCUAUAAACUGAACGACUAAUUGAAACAAUUGAGAAUAGGGCUAAACAGAGACGGACAAUAUGGCGGCCGGAUACAGCGAAUCGUCAUUCUGUGACGUUGGUGAGUAGGGUCUAUAUUUCGCCUGGCCCCUCCCCUCAAACCAAUUAAAUCAAAAGUUCAGUUAUCCGCUCCUGUUUGUUCAAUAUUAGCGUCAUUAUAAAUUAAAGAAAAAUACAAUAAACAAAAUAAUGGUACCAUUGCAUCUAAAUAACAUUUGGAAAGAAAAUAAAUUUACGUGGCCAAAAACUCACCCUAUACAGUGACGUCACACGCUGACGUCACGCCCGCGACGUCACAUAUUCAGGAAGUUAUGGAGCGCAGGGUUUUGACAGGUCAGCAUACGGAUGGAGGAUGAAUACUUGUGGAAAUGUUUGUUAAGAGUGAGUACGGCAUCACCAUGUUGUAGUGGCAGUCUAGUGUGCACCCCAGAGCCUCGCGAUGCCUAACAAGUGAAACCGGCAAAUAAACAACAGGUACGGUGUGAGCGUGUGCGCGCGCGCGCGUGUGUAUGUGUCUUAUGACUUAAAUUAAAGACGCCGGGUUUGCUGUGUCACAUGCAUUAUAUUGAGGACGCCGAGUUUCCCCCGGGAUCUGACGGGGCUACUCCUUCACAGCAGCACAACAACAUUUAGCCAUGGCUAACUUUGAAAAGCGUGCACACUAGGGCUGCAGCUAUCGCAUAUUUUAGUAAUCGAGUAAUCGACUGAAAAUUCUAUCGAGUAAUCGGAUAAAACAUUUUUUUUCGGUAAAGAGCAAUUAUAAAUAUACAUGAGGAAAAAAAAGACAUUUAAUCCAGUUAGGGCAGCAGCUAUCGAAUAUUUUAGUAGUCGAUUAAUCGAUGGACUAGUUAGUUCGGAUAAUCGAGUAAUCGGAUAAGGAACAUGAAAAAUUGAAAUACCAGGGCUGAGCCUCAAACGGUAUAAUGUAUUUAUUUAUUUUUUUUAAUGAGGAUCCAUGUACGACAAAAGAACAAUUGGCUAACUUACAUAGAAAAAGUCCACUAGCUUAAAUGCUAUAAAAUAAAAAAAAAAAAUUAAACAAUGCUCUUAACAAAUGGUUUCAGACACAUUUUCCCACAAAGACGGCUAAAUAUACUUAUAAACUAAAUCAUGAAUGCAUUAAAAAACAUGAGCUCAAACAAAAACUUUGCUUAGGUUGGUCUUAACAGGGAGCAGUUGGUUUCAGCCAUGUGAAAAGAGUCAGACCAGAGGGCAGUGUAUCCACACCACUUUAAUUAAACGAAUACUCGAAGCAACAAAAUUUAUUUUGAAUAUUUUUUUCUCAUCGAGUACUGGAGUAAAUCAAUUAAUCGUUGCAGCACUAAAUCCAAUAUUUAACCAUUUUCAGUCAAUCAAUGUCUUUAUUUUCGAUGUACAUUGUUGAAAACAGCCAACAAUUGCAUCUCAGAUGUGACUAGAAAAAAAAAUCACUUUCACUCAUAAAACUUCUAGAUCGUAUAAAAAACAAAAAACAAACAUAUUUCUUACCUAAAAAUGUAAUUACGCUUGAUAACACACAUCACUUGAAAGCUUCGUGUUUUCCCCACGUGUUUCCAUUGAAUUUCCAUUUGUGUCAAGCUAUUUUUAAGUUCUUGUUAAGUUUUAAGUUAGUCUAAACUGUAAGUACAGAUAGGAUUUUGAGUUUUUGCAGUGUUCAAAAUAAAUGUAUGAUACCUGCUUUUUUGGAGCACAUUAAAAACCAGUGCUACUUGGUAUUUUAUUCAGCAAUGACUACUGAGCUAAAACUGACAGUUAGCUUUAUUAUGUUUUAAUUUUACACCCUCAUCACUCUACAGCGCUGUGUUUUUACAGAUUAAAUAAAGCCUGUAUGUAAGACACGUUAGCCACGCAUCGACAGUGGUCAUAAUCAAUAGAAACCUAGCCCUCCGAAGGGCUAACGUUACGUGUGCGAGUGACAGUAACGUUAUAUUUAUUAGUGCUGAGAAGUCUACUGCUUAAAGAUGGCGGCUGUUUACUAACGCUGGCCAGACGCGGCCGAGUCUGUCAUUUCGCAUGUAGUUCUAAAUGCAUGCGAUAUCUAUGAGACGCAUCGGACACUACCUGCUACCACACUAGCAUCAUGCGGGCGUAGUUUUUAGCAACGUGGGCGUAGUUAGUUGCGGCUGUCGGCUGCAGUAAGGUUUUUUUUUUUUUUAUUGCUUCUUCCUCUACGCACGUGACGUCAGCGCGUUGUCCUGCAUUAAAAGUAGUCCGGGCAAAACGUGAUGCUUAGAACUCGCAAAAUUAAACGAUUCCUCGAGAUUAAUAAAAUUACUCUGAUCAGUUUUUAAACUCGAGUUACUCGAGUUUCUCGAGUAUUCGUUUCAGCUCUAGUGCAUACUGUACUGCCGCUUCCAAGGAUGCCUUGCAUGUACUGUCACAGCCGGUAUUUGCGGAUCCUGCUACGGUUGUAUUCACAAGUAAAGCAGGGUGCGCUUAAAGCGGACUGAGACGCAUGAUUUCUGAGUUCUGGAGUUUGUUUGUUUGGUCCAAACUAGACUUCGGAAGCACGUUCACAUUUACAAAAACGAAGCGGACUAUGUAGGGGUGAAAGUGGCUGGAAUUUCUUGCCGGAACUCCUUGAUAGAUUUUUUUUGAGGGAGAGGGAGAGGGGGUCAAACCAAUUUUUGACUAGGGUAACUACACUGGCACGACACCGGCGGGCGUACCAAUUUCAAUGGAUGACAAGGUUGGCGAAAAGUAUUGCCUAAGCAGCCAGAUUUAGAAUUACCCUAAAGAAUGAUGGGAAACAAAAACGCUCAUUGUCAGCUUAUUAUUUUAAAUAUUCAUGUAAGUUAGUUUUAUUGCUGACACUGCGUUUUGGGGUCAUCAACAUAUUGUGCCCGACCCCCGCAGCCCCAAAAGUCAAACUCCGCCUAUGGGCACAAUGUCACGCUAAAAAAUAAGUUAAAAAUAUCAAAAUGGCUUACCUCUUUGUCCUCUGAAAGACCAUGCCAACUAGAGCUUAGAUCUUGUGCCCGAACCCGGGUCGGGUCGGGCCCAAAAUGUUAAGCAUUCACGUUCGGGUCGGGUCGGGUCGGGCUGCUGUGCCGGACUAAUAAAUUAUUAAAAAAAAAAAUUAAAAAAAAUGGAGAGCAGGCUCUCUGUAUUGCGCUUUUGCUUGAGCACGCACUCACAUGAACGCCGUGGCGCCGCCCGCUUUUUCCUCUUGUCGUCCCGCUGUAGCACUUGCGCAUGGCCGAGGCACCGCCCUCUUUUUUAUUUUCUCCUUUUCUGGCGCCUUGCGCGUGUACACAACUCCACAACUCCUCAUCCACGUGGUACUUAUUUUUCAAUAUGGAGCAGCGAGAAGUUAAAAACAAACUGAAGACGGGGGAAUGGUAAAUGCUUUUAUAAUUCUCAUAAAAAUAUGUAGACUAUUUAGAUAUUGAGUAAACUUGCAUUUUUUUUUUCUGACAACUGUGAAUUCAUUACGAAAGACACUUAUUUAUGCACACAAAGGCAACACAAAUGUGAUCCUUUUGAAUCUUCUCCUCUGUGUGGCUGCAAAACCGCAUUUAUUUAUUUUUUUAUAUUAAACUAUCCCACCGUUAUUUCGUUGUGUAAAUGUUUUUAUAAUGAUCAUAAAAAUAUGUAGACUACUUAAACAUUAAGAAAACUUAAGUUUUUUUCUGCCAACUCGAAGAAAUGAAAAUAAAUUGCUGUGUUUUUUUUCCGCGUCACUCCAACUCCAACUGCAAAUCUACUUAAUUGAUCGGGUUCGGGCCGGGUCGGGCCUCAAUACCAGCGGGCCGUGUCGGGUCGGGCUGGAUUUUUAGGCCCGAACUAGGCUCUAAUGCCAACCCAACAAAAUGUUUACUGCAUAUGAAAUGUAAAUAGAUUCACCGAGCUGGUGUUAAAAGUCCGCGAAAGUUAAUUCAUACUUUACAUUUUUUCCUCCAGACUUUUCGGUUUCGGGAAACGUAUGAAGAAAACAUCCUUCAUAUGUCGUAAUGUCUAGAGCCGUUUCUACAAGUUCCAAAAAAGCAAUGUGUGAUCGGCAUGUUCGUUUUUGAAAGAUUACUAGAGAAAAAUAGCAGAAUUAACAUUAUUUCUAUGCGAGGGCGGGUCUAUAAUGUCCCACUUCUGCUUUACUUCCGCUUUACGAUGCGACGUCACGGUCUAAAAAUAGCAUGUGUGCGGUACGCCAUUGGCUGAUCACGACCACAAUGAAGGAUCCCCUAAAACUUGAGUGGCCAUAAUUACACAGCGCACGUUUCAGGCAAAUACAGUAGUGUGAGUGAAAUAUUGUGUUUGUUCAGUAGCAGGUAGCAAAAUCAAUGCAGCAAAAAGAAAAACAGUGCACUGAUCACAAACUUUCAAUUUUCAUACCACAGUGAACCCCACUAUUCACACUCUCAUUCACACACACUUUGUAGUGUAUUCUGAAGUGAUAAUUGCAUUUAAGUAAAAUAUUUGGAAAAAAAAAAAAAUUCUGGAGCAGAAACACAGUUAUAACUGUGUACGCACACGCCUCCUCUUAAUUGUGUUAAAAGGGUGUAAAGUUGCCACCCCAUGCCUUUUUGUUCUGUAAUUAACUGUGGGCUCUUAAUGUAGUGAUGGAGAAUCAAUGUCCAAGCGCCUUGGAAGUGAGUUUUCAUGUGACCCAGGGUCGCUAAGUGGAAAGUGGGAUAGCCAGGGAUCGAUCAAGACGGUGCUUUGACUGAGGGGUGUUGACAGAGGAAGGAACAGACGAGUGGCAUAAUGCCUUGCGUAAAUUCAAAUGGUAAUCACUCAGCGUUUGUGUUUGUUCUUUGCAGAAGAAGUGUUAUGUUAAGGGUUGGUAGACAUUCCAACUAUGUAUCAAUUAAAUUCAUGCUUUUAAUCAGAAUGUAUGUAAAGAAAUCUAAUUAUGCCAUAUGUACAUACUGUGCAAAACAGUCUGCCUCUUUUACUUGUGAUUUUAAAUCAAUUUUAGUUUGUAUAUAAUGUUGUAACUUAAGAAUAAAUCUUUGCCAUCAUGUCUAAGUCACUGCUUACACGACGGUCGUGAUUUUUGGAGAAUGUAGUUGUACAAGAUUGUG